ACAAAUGUACACCACAUGUCGAGACUUGCAAAGUGCAGCCCGUGCGCCCGGGAUGCUUGUUUAGACCUGCAAAGGGAUGAAAUGCGACUUGCGCUGUGCUUGCAAUCUACAUCAGUACAAAUACGAAUGCCAAAAACAAAACGUUACUCGUUUGUUUCUGGGAUUUUGAGCUUAAAAGUUUGACUGUGAGUGAAUCGACGUCAGUGUUUACAGUGCCGGAAAAAGUCAGAACUGAUACGAAAUAUGGCUGCAUUUAAGAAGAAAUGUCAACAGUACAGUGUUGAUUAUUUGAAAUUUGAUUUGCUUCCAUCAACGUAUUACAAGAGGAGCUACUUGAGCCCUAAAAAUAUUCUGGGCUAUGGGAAAUUGUGAGAAAAUUUUUGAUAGCGUUUCCCUCGUCCUAUCUUGUCGAAAGAAGUUUUAGUGCCGUUACCAACCUGUUAACAAGAAAAGGAGCAGAUUGAACAUCAGAGAACGAGGAGAUUUGAGAUUACAAAACUGAAGCCAAAUAAUGAUAAUUUACUGUCAAUUCAGCAAGUACAUCCGUCUCAUUAAAAGUAUGAGUAUGAGAAAAUAUUGUUGAUUUACAUUUCAGAGUUCAUUCUUGACUGUUUGUAAUAAUAAAUGUUUACAAUUU